rnacentral:rRNA from 1 species
UUCCAGACUCUUACGGGAGGCAGCAGUGGGGGAUAUUGCACAAUGGGGGAAACCCUGAUGCAGCGACGCCGCGUGGGUGAAGAAGCGCCUCGGCGCGUAAAGCCCUGUCAGCAGGGAAGAAAAUGACGGUACCUGAAGAAGAAGCCCCGGCUAACUACGUGCCAGCAGCCGCGGUAAUACGUAGGGGGCAAGCGUUAUCCGGAUUUACUGGGUGUAAAGGGGGCGCAGACGGCGAUGCAAGCCAGGAGUGAAAGCCCGGGGCCCAACCCCGGGACUGCUCUUGGAACUGCGUGGCUGGAGUGCAGGAGGGGCAGGCGGAAUUCCUGGUGUAGCGGUGAAAUGCGUAGAUAUCAGGAGGAACACCGGUGGCGAAGGCGGCCUGCUGGACUGCAACUGACGUUGAGGCCCGAAAGCGUGGGGAGCAAACAGGAUUAGAUACCCCAGUA